GCCCAACCAGGUACCGAGCAGGCUUCAGUCCGCGCUGUCCCUUCCCCUGGGGACCCAAGUGCCUGCGCAGCUAGGGCGCCUGAGGGCUGGGAUGGGUCAGGAGUGGCAGGAGGUCACAGGGAAGCAUAGAGGUCCUGCCUGCCUCCGGCCAGGUGAGGGAACCUUGUGCAGUCCGACCUGGGCACAUUUGGGUGGGGAGGCCUGAGCGUGGGAAGGGUGCAGCUCCAGGAAGUGGGGUUGGGAAACUGCUCCUUCGUCUGGCACCCCAGAACAAGGUGGAAACCUCAGGCUUCUCCGGAGCUGAGCCAGGCCUCCAGGCCUCCAGGCCUCCAGGACCCGGAACAGGAGGGGCUCUGCUGCCCUGGGCGUCAACCAGUCAGCCACCUGGCCUCUGACAGUGGCACUCACCACCAGCACCCCCCCCCCCACACACACACACACGGGCACACGCGCACGCACGCGCGCACACCCCCGCCCCUCGGGGCCUGGGUAUCUGCGCACCCGGCCAGGAGGCGGGGCGCUCCUGGCCCGGAGCCCCAAGCCGAAGCUCCGAAGCUCCGUGCCCUGCCCCCGCCCCGACAGGCCACCUCCGCCACCGCCACCGCCGCCACCGCCGCCAAAGCCAGAGCCAGAGCCAGAGCCAGUUCCACUCGGGUAUCCGAGCCUUUGCCUCCUCUCAGGCCAGACUACGUACCUGCAGGAGUCGCUGAGACUCACCUGCUGUCCCUGCUGCCGCUGCUCUGCGCGCUGUGCCGGCCCUGCCUGGGUGGCGCCGCCUGCACCCAGAGCCCGCCCCCAGUCCUCCUGCGCCCGAUCCAGCGAGGCCCCACCCACCUCGCUGUCACACCAGUACCCAGAUAGCCCACCAAACCCAUACCUCACCCGACAGCGACCUGAGCUCCCCGAAUCUGGAGAAGUGUGACACUAUUCCUGUGUCUGAUUCACAGAUGAGGAGGCCCAGAACACCAGGUCGCGGCUUCCCGCCCAAAGUGACGACCAAUCAAAAGCGACCUCGCCGGUCAAGAAAAUGGCCAAUCACGCUUGAGGUUCCUGCCUGGAACCCGCCCCCCCAAGCGGUCGGAACCAAUAGCAUUCGCUCGAGCAGCGAGCCAAUCAGGAUGCGGAGCGUGGCGUGGCCUGCAAGCAGUUGGGCGCGUGGCGUGGCACAGAGAGGAAGUGGAGCCCGGCGUGCGACCAGGAGGCAAACACCAUGGUAUGGCGGGUGGCCUCGGGCGGGGGCGGGGGGCAGGCCCAAAUGGCAGUGGGGCGCGGCGGGGGGGGCUAACGCGGCAGCUCCGGGACGCUUGUGUCACCUGGGAGUGGCACCCGCAGCGCUGGCCCUUCCCGACUCUUUCUUCCUGGAGCAACCCAAGUGCUGCACUCGAGUUCUCCGACUUGUGUCUCCUACUUGUGGGCUCACGAGGGGGCACGGGUAGGCAGUAUUACAGCGUCCUGAAAUAAGAAUGGUAGAAAACACUAGAUGCUGAAAAAUCUUGCUUCCUCUGUUAAAUGGGGUAUUUAUUUAUUUAUUUAGGUUGGUUUAUACUUAGAAUUUUCUUAGAGCAAAACCAAGCAAACAGGAACAGACUUGCUCAUAUUCCCCUUCUUGCGCCAGAAAAAGCACACAGUGCACACUCUUGCACUUUGUUUUUGCAUUGCACAAAAAAAUCCAGUGCCCUCCAUAUCGCCGUACAAAGAUCUUCAUUGUUUACGGCUGCAUAGUAUUCGAGUGUGUGGCUGUAGAUUAUACAACCUGUUCGGGGUCACUGGAUGCUUGGACUUUUAUCCCAGUCUUUUGUACAUGGAGCUGCGAUGAGUAAUCUGCACGUGCUGUUUCUUGUUUCUUGUUUUUUUUUUUUAUGAGUAAUCUGUGCAUGUGCUGUUUCUUGUUUCUUUUUUUUUUUUAAUUUUUUUUAAAAUUUAUUUAUGAUAGUCACAGAGAGAGAGAGAGGCAGAGACACAGGCAGAGGGAGAAGCAGGCUCCAUGCACCCGGAGCCCGAAGUGGGAUUUGAUCCCGGGUCUCCAGGAUUGCGCCCUGGGCCAAAGGCAGGCUCCAAACCGCUGCGCCACCCAGGGAUCCCUGUUUCUUGUUUCUUACCUAAUGUAGGUGUGCAUGCGGUGCCAGGAGUGCAUGGCUGUGGUUUUGUAGAUCUUGCCAGAUUCUCUUCCAUUGGCAAUACACGAGAAUUCGUGUCCUCCCACAGCAGGCUAGGCUUCUGUCUUUCCCUUUUUUAAAUAUUUAUUUAUUCAUGAGAGACACACACACACAGAGAGACAGGAGAAGCAGGCUCCAUGCAGGGAGCCUGCUGCGGGACUCAAUCCUGGAUCCUGGUAUCACACCCUGACCCGAAGGCAGAUACCCAACUGCUGAGCCACCCAGGCAGCCCACAGGCUUCUGUCUUUAAUUCAUGCAUUUUUAUAUCCUCAUUCAUAGAUUUACUAUGUAGUUGUUAACACAUUAAUAGUUUACACAUCAGUUGAACCCAGCCAACACCUGUGUCAUUAUGCAUUUCCAAAUAAUGUGCUUAUUUGGAAGACAAAUAAGCAGUGCCCAAGAAGGACAGCCUUAGGUGGAGAGCCACCAAAACAGUCCUCCAACAGGAGUUCAUGUGGUCCAGUUCAAGUGUCACUUAACUGAGGCUGAGAGCUCAUCCUGUUUCCUCUCCUGAUUACUGUGGUAGCUUCCGAACUUUAUAUAUGUGUGUGUCUGUGUAUAACCAUAUAUACAAACUAUAUCAUAAUUUACUAUAUAAUAAUUCAUACUGACCUCUGCAUUCUCCCUUUGUAAAAGUUGUUUUGAGGCUUCUCUUAUCAGUCAUUGCACAGCGUGAAAUCAAGCUGCUCAAAUGAAUUACUUGUAGAAGUGAAUUAUUUUAAGUAUAAAGGAAAGCUAUCUUCUGUUACCAGACAGGUAAAAGAAAGCGUUAAGAUUAGGAGAUAAUUUGUGCAUUUCAUUAUUUUCAGGAGCUUUUUUUUUUUUUUUUAGCUAAGGCUUCAUCUUAAGAAAUAAAAACACCUUCAUUAAUACUUUCAGAGAGCUAUUCCACCAUUGUUGUUUGAUACGAUAGAGUCUUCUUAAGUUGAAAUGCCUAAAAUUUGAUUUUUAAAGUUCAUAGUAAUUGAACCAACUAAAUUAGGAAACUUCCGGGGAGGGAGAGGUGGUGACAAGUUGUUGUGAAUAUAACCUAAAAGAACUUAACAUUGAUAUUCUCUGAGAAAAUAUUGGCUGUCCUAGGUACUUUGUUAGAAGGGUUUGUGUCUGAAGAUGAAUUUAGUAGAGGGUCAUCUGGGUGGCUCAGUUGCAAACGUCUGCCUUUGGCUCAGGUCAUGAUCCUAGAGCCCUAGGAUCAAGCCCCAUGUCGGUAUCCCCGCACAGUGGGAUAUGUGCAGGUACAUGCUCUCUGUCUCUCAAAUAAAUAAAUAAAUAAAAUCUUAAAAAGAAUUUAAUGGGAAUCCCAGCAUCAGAAAUUAGGUUUAAAAUCCUACUUUGGGGAUGCCUGGGUGGCUUAGCAGUUGAGCAUCUGCCUUUUACUUGGGGCAGGAACCCAGGGUCCGGAUUGAGUCCCGACAUCGGGUGCCCUGUGGGGAGCCUGCUUCUCUCUCUGCCUCUCUCUGUGUCUCUCAUGAAUAAAUAAAUCUUAAAAAAAAUAAAAUCCUACUUUGUGCAUCCCUGAGCCUCAUCACCAAGUUUAGUAUCUUCUGGAGAAUUUGUCCCUGCCUCUAAAGGCAAUUUUUUUUUUUUUUUUUUUUUUUUGGGCUCAGUGUUGCAGUUUGGUUGGAAUCAGAAUUAGACCAUCAGCUGUGAUUUAGGCCCUUGUAGUAAAACAAGACCAGAAGCCGAGUUUGGGGGCUUCAGAGCUUCAAUUCUAAAGAUUAGGAGAUGACAGUGCUAGGUUAGGAAAUUAGAAACAACUUGAAAUUGUUUGAGAUUUCUGAACUGUAAUGUGAUCAUAAUUAGAUGAUAGGAAAAUAAUACCCAUAGUUAAAAUGAUCUGGGCUUGUUGUCAGGAGUGCUGGGGGUGGAGGCAGCUGAGGGUUUUGGCCUUGCUGUUCAGGGGUGUGGUAAUGGUGAUUGGUGGCAGGAGCAUGGCUGCUCAGGGCUCUGGGGUCCACUCUCCCCUCCCACUACAGACCAAACUCUUACUGGAAUUAUUUGGAAUUUAUUUAGACUUGUCUUAUGGUUGACAGAGAAUGUGGUCUACUUGGCAAAUGUUUCCUGUGCGUAUAAGAAUGUGUAUCCUGCUGUGUGGAUUGGAGUAUUUUCUAAUGUAAUUUAGAUCGGUAUUGUUGAUAGUGUUGUCCAGGUCUUCUCUACCCUGACUGAUGUCUAUCUAGUUGAAUCAGUUAUUGAGAGAAUGUCGAAGUCUUUGAUUGUGGAUUGUCUGUUCACCUUUCAGUUCUGUUUUUCUUUGUAUAUUUUGAAGUUCUGUAUCAAGAAGCUGUGGUUCUAAUAGUACGUAACCAUUAUGGAUUAUUAUGCUUUUCCUGUUGAAUUGGUCCCUUUAUCAUUAUGAAAUGACCCUCUUUCUUUAGUAAAAUUCUUUGCUUUGAAAGCCACAGUGUUGGUCCUGGGCUUUGCUAUCCCUGCUGUCCACCACCAGGCUGAGUGCCUUGUUCACCUGGGCUCCCUGUGAGCAAUGUGCUGUCAGCCAGGUGUGACCCAGGCUGCCUCCUCACCAGGGAGAAUGCUGAGAACGUAGAGACUGUAAGUUCCCACUAGUACACUCAGCAGUGGGAUGGAGCCCACUGGUGCUCUUGGAGAAGUGGGAGAUGAGUGGCAGAGUGGAAGGUUCCAGACUCGCCACCUUGUCCCUGUAUGCCUGAGCGAUGUCACUGCCCUGCUGUGUGCCUGUGCACUCCUCCCAGCCCUGCUGCCCAGCCUCAUCCAGGGUGGUAUUUCCUUUUAACUUGCUUGGAGAGAGGGACACCUGGAUGGCUCAGCCUGUUCAGCGUCUGCCUUCAGCUCGGGUCAUGAUCUUGCGCUCUUGGGAUGGAGCCCCACAUCAGGCUCUGCUGUCAGGGAGUCUACUUCUGCCUCUGUGCUCUCUCUCUCUCUCAAAUAAAUAAAAUCUUUAAAAUAAAUAAAUAAACUUGCUUGGAGGAACACCUGGAAGCUUGCCUGUCCCAUCCAUCCCAGCUCCCUUCUUCUAGGCCAAGGUCAGUCUAUGCUAAUAGCAAGCAGUGUCAGCAUAAAAUAAAAUGAAAUAAAAACUGUACUGUUCAUCUAGCCCCUCUAGCUUGCCUUUGGUUUAGGCUUAGCAUGGUAUAUAUUUUCAAUACUUUACUUUCUAACCCAUCUUUGGGCUUCCUAUAGUUGGUUUAUAGUUAGGUCUUGCUUUUUCUCUGACAAUCUGCCUGUUAAUUAGAUAUUUACAUUUAAUUUGUAACGAUGUUUACUGUGAUUAUUGGUAGGGUUGGGUAUAAAUCGACCACGUUGCUGCUUGUUUUCUGUUUAUCUCCUGUUUGUUCCCUCUUUCCUCUCUUUUCCUGCCUCUUUUGGAUUAUUUUUAUGAUUCCAUGUUAUCUUUUUUUAUUACUUUUGUGACUGUACCUCUUCAUUUUAUUUUUUUUGUGGUUGUUUUGGGGAUUAUAGAGCACAUCCUCAGUCUGUCGCAGUCUGCUUUCAAGUGAUAUUAUACUACGUCCCAGCAAAAUACUUACAUUUUUCCUCCUUGGCCUCUGUGCUACUAUUGGUCAUAUUUUAGUUUUUUUAAAGAUUUUAUUUAUUUAUUCAUGAGAGACACUGAGAGAGAGGGGCAGGGAUACAGGCAGAGGGAGAAGCAGGCUCCACACAGGAAUCCCGACGUGGGACUCAAUCCCAGGACUCCAGGAUCACGCCUUGGGCCAUAGGCAGGCACUAAACCACUAAGCCUCCCAGGCAUCCCAUAUUUUAAUUUUAUA
rnacentral:lncRNA from 1 species